rnacentral:rRNA from 1 species
CACGUAGGGUGCGAGCGUUGUCCGGAAUUAUUGGGCGUAAAGAGCUCGUAGGCGGUGUGUCGCGUCGGCCGUGAAAACCUGCAGCUUAACUGUGGGCUUGCGGUCGAUACGGGCAUCACUGGAGUUCGGCAGGGGAGACUGGAAUUCCUGGUGUAGCGGUGAAAUGCGCAGAUAUCAGGAAGAACACCCGUGGCGAAGGCGACACGCUGGGCCAUACCUGACGCUAAAGCGCGACAGCAUGGGGAGCAAACGGG